rnacentral:rRNA from 1 species
AUUGAACGCUGGCGGCAUGCCUUACACAUGCAAGUCGAACGGCAGCACGGGUGCUUGCACCUGGUGGCGAGUGGCGAACGGGUGAGUAAUACAUCGGAACGUACCUUAUCGUGGGGGAUAACGCAGCGAAAGUUGCGCUAAUACCGCAUACGCCCUGAGGGGGAAAGCGGGGGAUCGAAAGACCUCGCGCGAUUAGAGCGGCCGAUGCCUGAUUAGCUUGUUGGUGGGGUAAAAGCCCACCAAGGCGACGAUCAGUAGCUGGUCUGAGAGGACGAUCAGCCACACUGGGACUGAGACACGGCCCAGACUCCUACGGGAGGCAGCAGUGGGGAAUUUUGGACAAUGGGGGCAACCCUGAUCCAGCAAUGCCGCGUGAGUGAAGAAGGCCUUCGGGUUGUAAAGCUCUUUUGUCAGGGAAGAAACACCGGCUCUAACACAGUCCGGGAAUGACGGUACCUGAAGAAUAAGCACCGGCUAACUACGUGCCAGCCGCCGCGGUAA